UCUAGCUUAAGUUAGUGAUAGACAUUAGUUUACUUCAUUCCUGAGAAUUCCAAUACAUUCCAAACCAAAUCCAUUAGAUAGCAAUCAUAUUAUAAUUUCCUGAAGCAACUCACCAAUUUAGUUAAGUAAAUGCCAACCGAUAUAGAGCUAACCUCUAUGUAUACAUAGGUAGCAAUCUGAUUCUUGCAUCAAUUCUCAGAACGUACACCCAACUAUAUAUGCAGAUCUGAACUCUUUUACAUGCUCAAAUGAUAAAUGUAGGAGGAUCAUUUUAUGUUGUACUUGAGUACUCAAAUCUUCGCAUAAUUCUUUCAUCCCGGAAAGAGAUUAGUAUUUUUGGAGUCGCGUGAAACUCACGGGACUACCGUUAGCUAGGCAAUCACCCAAGAGGUAUACAACGUUAUACAUGCGAUAUAUAUAUAUGUGUGUGUGUGUAUGAUAUUGCCAUAAGGGCCUACGGCGUUAUAUACGCAGUCAUCUUGCAAAGUUGUGCAUUCACGGUAGUUGGUCAGUGUUAGAUCAGGUACGGACCGACAGAGUGGUCCGACUCCUCCUCAGUAGGUGUGAAUCAGCUGGGUCAGAGUUGCGCUCCUUUCUUUUUGGAGCAGCGGUCUUGAAGGUUUAGGUUUAUGUAUGUGAGCUAUACUUUUUGGGUAUGACGAGGGCCUUGUCCCAUCGUGUGGUCUUGUAUAUAUAUACUUUUAGAGGCUUGCAGACUGUUGUCUAGUCACAUGUCAGUUUGUUUGUUCAGUUGAUUUGUAUAAUAAUGUAUCGACUCUUCUUUUGAUGGCCUUGUUGACUGCUGUCCAUAUUGUAUAUAGUUGUUGAUGGAAGUUCCGCUACUCGUGGAAUACUUUGUUCCUUCUUGUAGUUGGUUGUAUGAUAUUCUUAUCGUCACAUAGCUCAUUUCUAAAGUUCAGAUGCCACAGUGGUACGCUCAGGUCCUCGGGUGCUGGGUGCUAGCCACAUCCCCGGUUUUGGGAUGUGACAAACUUGGUAUCAGAGAAGGUCUAUCCUAGGGAGUCUGCAAGCCGUAUCUAGUAGAGUCUUGGUUAUGGGUGUAUUGUGCACCACACCUAUAAACAGGAGGCUACAAGAUAUUUAGGAAAAAAUUCCUUUCUUCUUGAUCUAGAUUGUGCG